CUCUAGUUGGUGCCAUUCUAAGUAAAUUUCCCCCUUCUCUUUCUUCCCUAUAGAAUUGGCUGAAGCAAGUCUCCAUAUUUUGAAGCUCAGGCCCCUUGUGUUGCAACAGGAGUGUCGUUGGUCAUAUCGGGCAUCCUCCUCCAGAGAACUGAAGAACACCCCUCCGGAGUCAGGAUGACCUGAGGGCUACACAAGGCUCAUUUUUCAUUCCCUGUGCCAUCUGGCUCCGGCAGCCACAAGACCUUUCUGGGCCUGAAUAACUUCAUCUGUGCAAUGAAGAAGUGAAACAUGGUCACAUCCACAUGGCAGUAGGCUCUGUCUCCACCACCAUGGCCAAGCGCCACCUCUGAGGAGCUAGGAGCACCCAAAGGACCCAGGACCACAGACUAUGACCAUGUCUGUGCUGGAGUGAGACCACUAGAAGAUAAUAACCACGUUCUUCUCAUGUAAAACCAGGGUUCUGCUCGAGCAACCCUUCUAGCAGCCCUACUUAGGAGGCAGAAGCAAGAUGCUCUUAAGUUUGAAGUAGGCCCUGGAUACAAGUUAAACCUUUUCUGAAAAUUAAUAAACAAAUAUUAAAGAAGCAUUUUUCAACAAAGAAUCACUAUAGUAGAACCAGUGUUUUACCCUCUUUGUCUCAAAAAUGUAAAAGGUCUCUCAUGCAGGAGAGGGAGAAGUUUCUGUGGCUCGGUUGCCCUGGUACCCUCUGUACUUCCCUGCUUAGAAGAAGCACAUGGCCACAUGGCCGAGGAAAGUGUUGUCUGUGUUUCCUGAGUAAGCAGGGCAGCUCAUGAUUCAGACAGAAAUUAAGCAGCCUACUGAGGGAGUUUGGCCAAAGAGCCAAAUACAUUUGAGAAUCAAGAGCAUCAAGUGGCUCUCUUCUGCAGGGCUCAGCAGGAUGUACUAUAGCACCGUCCCAAUUUGAAAAUGGAGAGAAAGGACAGUGAAUUCCCAGGCAGUAGCAAAAGCACCCUAUUGCAUGGAUUUCCUCAAGGCUGAUGGUGAACACAAGUCUCUUAAAGACCGUCUUCACCACACCCGGAGUAAAGUCCUGCCCAUGAGUAGUGAGCGAUGAACAUCUAUAUUUUCACAUCAGUGAGGGUAUACGUGCCGCUGCUCUGUCCAGCCUUACAGUGGAUGGACAGUCAAGCAGCAGCAACACUCCCUUGCUGAACCUUUCUAGAAGGUUCAGUCCUUCUCAACUUCAGGACCAAGACAGCGAUGGGCCAGAGAAAGACAAGGAAUGUCUGAGCAGGGGCAGCAGUGGCUGUGAAGUAAAGGUGAGUGAGCAGGGAGCUCACAAUCACGUGUCCCCAGUCACUUCAGUCUCCCCACAGCCAGCACACACAGCUGCUUCUCCAUCUCCGCCUAGCAGCACUGCACCAUGCAUGAAUGGCCUGCUUUUCCUGCUCCUUCCACCCAGCCUCAUCUUCAUAAGCAGCACCUCCAUUAUGAUGCUUUCUCAAGGGAAAAAAAAAAAAGCUAAAGCAGAAUACAGUCUGUAAACACAGCCCUCUGAGGACAUGAGCAAUAUGGCUGUUGCUACCCUGCCUAUUCCUAACCAAGGUAGGAGACCACUCCCAAACCGCUUUCCUCCUAGUUGGGGUCCUCUUCCUUCUCCUUGCCAAAAAAUUAGAAUGUUACACAUAUAACCAGAAGCAGAGGCACAUGCUUGUGGUCCUAGCAUUCAAGAGGCUGAGGCAGGAAGACUGCUGUAAAUUCAAGGCCCAGCCUUAAGUUGCACGGCGAGCUCCAGGCCAGAAUGGGUUGUGGGAAGAUAGCCUGCCUCUUUAAAUGACAAAAAGGAAAAAAAAAAGAGAAUUAAAUCCUUAUAUAAGCAGAUAGCCUGCCUUCCAUGAAGAUAUCUAUGAAUUAUAGCAGUCGCUCUGCAGUACACACAGACCACUGGAAACUAGCUUCACAAAUUCCUCAGUGGCCAAAACAUGGUCCACAGAUAGGAGUAUUUGGAAGGAAAAGAACCUCAAGGUCUUUAAAUUCAGUAUCUGUUUUGUAUUCAACAUCUAUCUGUUGCAAGGGCUCUUUCUAAAAUGACUUUCACAAAGCAGGGCCUUCCCUUCACUCAGUCUCACUCCAAUUCAUAGCUCUCAGGUUUUAAAAUUCCCACCAGAGCUGGGUAUGAUGGCUCAGACUUCCAUAGCUCAGGGGCUAAAGCACAAAGAAUUCCUUGCAUUUGAAGUUAGCCUGGGCUACAUAGUAAAUUCCAAGCCAGCCUGGGCUACAAUGUAGGGUUGGUUUUGUUUUGAGGUGGUUGUUGUUGUCUGUUGCUGUUGUUGUCUCAAAAUUUGAAUAUUAAAAUAAAUAAAAUAACUCAUUUAAACACCAAAUCAUGGAAACUAUGGUGUUCAUGGCCAGGAAGAGAUGGCUCCAAGACCCAUGUGAUAGUUAGCAAGGGCUGAAGAAACAAGUUAUCACAGGC
rnacentral:lncRNA from 1 species